rnacentral:other from 1 species
GUUUCCCCUGCUGCUCCAAGGAGACAAGAGUUGGAAUUCCUGCAGGUUUACUUUUGUGAUGAGCUAGAAACCAUCUCUUUAAUUCCAUCUCAUAGUUUUCCACAGGUUCAUAGAGAAACC